UAGGGAAUCUUCCACAAUGGACGCAAGUCUGAUGGAGCAACGCCGCGUGAGUGAAGAAGGUUUUCGGAUCGUAAAGCUCUGUUGUUGGUGAAGAAGGAUAGAGGCAGUAACUGGUCUUUAUUUGACGGUAAUCAACCAGAAAGUCACGGCUAACUACGUGCCAGCAGCCGCGGUAAUACGUAGGUGGCAAGCGUUGUCCGGAUUUAUUGGGCGUAAAGCGAGCGCAGGCGGAAUGAUAAGUCUGAUGUGAAAGCCCACGGCUCAACCGUGGAACUGCAUCGGAAACUGUCAUUCUUGAGUGCAGAAGAGGAGAGUGGAAUUCCAUGUGUAGCGGUGGAAUGCGUAGAGAUAUGGAAGAGCACCAGUGGCGAAGGCGGCUCUCUGGUCUGCAACUGACGCUGAGGCUCGAAAGCAUGGGUAGCGAACAGG
rnacentral:rRNA from 1 species